AUGAACCUAGAGGUUACCAAAGUAGAUGUGGAAACAAACAUAUAAGCAUCCUUGUCAGGGGCUAGAUGAAAUGUAUAAUGAAGCCAGAAGACAGCUUCAAGAAGAAUCUCAGUUACGACAGGAUGUGGAGAAUGAGCUUGCAGUACAAGUUAGCAUGAAGCAAGAGACUGAACUUGCCAUGAAGUUGCUGGAGAAAGAUAUCCAUGAGAAACGAGAUACUCUAAUAGGUCUUCGACAACAACUAGAGGAAGUUAAAGCAAUUAAACAUAGAGAUGUAUCAAAAGUUGCAGGGUUCUGAAGAUGGCUUGAAAGAAAAAAAUGAAAUAAUUGCCCGACUAGAAGAAAAAACCAAUAAAAUUACUGCAGCCAUGAGGCAGCUGGAACAAAGAUUGUAGCAAGCAGAGAAGGCGCAAAUGGAAGCUGAAGAUGAGGACGAAAAAUAUCUACAAGAAUGUCUCUGUAAAUCUGACAGUUUGCAGAAACAAAUCUCCCAAAAGGAGAAACAGCUGGUGCAAUUGGAAACUGACUUGAAGAUUGAGAAGGAAUGGAGGCAGACUUUGCAGGAAGAUCUUCAAAAGGAGAAAGAUGCCUUAUCUCAUCGUAGAAAUGAGACUCAACAAAUGAUUAGUCUUAAAAAAGAGUUCCUUAAUCUCCAGGAUGAAAAUCAGCAGUUGAAAAAAAUAUGUCACGAACAAGAGCAAGCUCUUCAAGAACUCGGCAACAAACUUAGUGAAUCAAAACUUAAAAUUAAAGACAUAAAAGAAGCCAACAAAGCAUUGCAAGGACUGGUUUGGCUGAAAGACAAAGAAGCAACACAUUGUAAACUUUGUGAAAAGGAAUUCUCACUCUCUAAGAGAAAGCAACACUGUAGAAACUGUGGGGAAAUUUUCUGUAAUGCCUGCUCUGACAACGAACUACCUUUGCCUUCUUCACCAAAACCAGUAUGGGUUUGUGAUUCCUGUCAUGCAUUGCUCAUUCAGAGAUGCUCAUCUAACUUGCCCUGAGUCUCCUGAACUAAGUAAAUUUUUAUGUAUGAAAGUACCUACAACGAAUGUUAUGAUGUUGUAUACAAGGUAGCCAGUCAGCUCUUCUUAAGCGGUUUUCAGUCAGUAUUUGUACCAGUUUUAUCUUCUACAUAUUCAACUCACAGAAAUUGCAAGUUAUAUAUUUCUUUCUCCAUUGUUAUUCAAAAGGAAUUUUCAACAGAGCAUGCCUAAAAAUCAUGUAACUCUUAACUUCAUUAAAAGGCCAGAUAGCAGAGCUAACACACAUUUGCCUAAUCUUUUAAAGGCCUUCUUAAAAAUAAGGCUUCAGAUUGUUUUAUUCUUCUGAAUUCUGUCAAUUUGGUAUUUGAUGGUGCCUGCAAUUCUCUUAAUGCACUUUAAAGCUUCACAGUUCUGAGACUGGAAAUGUGUAAAACUUUAUUAAUAUUCAACAUAUUUUAAUUAUUUUUUUUAAGAUUUCACCUAUAUUUAUUUGUCUCUCUUCCCCUGCACCCCCGACCUUUGCCUCUUUUGCAUUAGACAGGGCCAAUAUUUUGUCCUACAAAAUUUCCUGUUGGUCUUUUCUAAAAUCAGUUAUUGUGCUUGAUGAUUUUCAGCUACAGUGGAUUAAAUGAAAAGGGGCAUUAUUUGGUCUCAGCCUCAACAUUUUUCUUUCUCAUCUUGAAAGGAAGUUACAUAUAACCAUCUUUCUUAUACCUGAGUUAUAGAUCUUCCCAUAUGUUGUUUCACUAAAUUGCUAUUUUUUAAAGGGGUGACUCAGUCCCUAAUUCAAAGAUGAAAACCCAAAUCCCUCCCCAGAAAAAAAUGUACAUAAUACUAGGGGAUAUUACAGGCUUCUUAUAAAGAUCCUCUCUAACCAUUAAAAGUGAGAAAAAAAUCAGAACUUUGCUUUGGUAAUGUAUUAAGAGUUCCGUUCAAAAAAUUUUGUAUGAACAUUUUCAUUGGAGUAAAUUGUAGGAAGCAUCAGAUUGUAGUGGCCUACCAGUAUACAUCCACAGUAAAAUUUCACUGUCUAUUGAGCCCCUCUAUGCCAGGGUGUUGAGAUGAUGAAACAUACACUUGAACUAUUUC